UACGUAGGGGGCAAGCGUUGUCCGGAAUUAUUGGGCGUAAAGCGCGCGCAGGCGGUUCUUUAAGUCUGGUGUUUAAGUGCGGGGCUCAACCCCGUGACGCACUGGAAACUGGGGAACUUGAGUGCAGAAGAGGAGAGCGGAAUUCCACGUGUAGCGGUGAAAUGCGUAGAGAUGUGAAGGAACACCAGUGGCGAAGGCGGCUCUCUGGACUGUAACUGACGCUGAGGCGCGAAAGCGUGGGGGAGCAAACAGG
rnacentral:rRNA from 1 species